CGCCGGCUGGUCGGUGGCGAUGGUCGGCUACACCCUGGCCCCGGAGGCGAGCCUCACCCGGAUCGUGGCCGAGACCGGCGC
rnacentral:tRNA from 1 species